rnacentral:rRNA from 1 species
CCUACGGGAGGCAGCAGUGGGGAAUAGUGGACAAUGGGGGCAACCCUGAUCCAGCCAUGCCGCGUGUGUGAAGAAGGCCCUCGGGUUGUAAAGCACUUUCAGUGAGGAAGAACGCCUGGUGGUUAAUACCCAUCAGGAAAGACAUCACUCACAGAAGAAGCACCGGCUAACUCCGUGCCAGCAGCCGCGGUAAUACGGAGGGUGCGAGCGUUAAUCGGAAUUACUGGGCGUAAAGCGCGCGUAGGUGGCUUGAUAAGCCGGUUGUGAAAGCCCCGGGCUCAACCUGGGAACGGCAUCCGGAACUGUCAAGCUAGAGUGCAGGAGAGGAAGGUAGAAUUCCCGGUGUAGCGGUGAAAUGCGUAGAGAUCGGGAGGAAUACCAGUGGCGAAGGCGGCCUUCUGGACUGACACUGACACUGAGGUGCGAAAGCGUGGGUAGCAAACAGGAUUAGCUACCCGAGUAGUC